rnacentral:tRNA from 1 species
UGGUGCAAAUGGUUAGCAUGCUCAGCUGCUAAAUGAAAGACUGGUGGUUCAAUUCCACU